rnacentral:rRNA from 1 species
AGUGGCUUACCAAGGCUUUGACGGGUAGCCGGCCUGAGAGGGUGACCGGCCACAUUGGGACUGAGAUACGGCCCAGACUCCUACGGGAGGCAGCAGUGGGGAAUAUUGCACAAUGGGCGGAAGCCUGAUGCAGCAACGCCGCGUGCGGGAUGACGGCCUUCGGGUUGUAAACCGCUUUCGCCUGUGACGAAGCGUGAGUGACGGUAAUGGGUAAAGAAGCACCGGCUAACUACGUGCCAGCAGCCGCGGUGAUACGUAGGGUGCGAGCGUUGUCCGGAUUUAUUGGGCGUAAAGGGCUCGUAGGUGGUUGAUCGCGUCGGAAGUGUAAUCUUGGGGCUUAACCCUGAGCGUGCUUUCGAUACGGGUUGACUUGAGGAAGGUAGGGGAGAAUGGAAUUCCUGGUGGAGCGGUGGAAUGCGCAGAUAUCAGGAGGAACACCAGUGGCGAAGGCGGUUCUCUGGGCCUUUCCUGACGCUGAGGAGCGAAAGCGUGGGGAGCGAACAGGCUUAGAUACCCUGGUAGUCCACGCUGUAAACGGUGGGUACUAGGUGUGGGGUCCAUUCCACGGGUUCCGUGCCGUAGCUAACGCUUUAAGUACCCCGCCUGGGGAGUACGGCCGCAAGGCUAAAACUCAAAGGAAUUGACGGGGCCCCGCACAAGCGGCGGAGCAUGCGGAUUAAUUCGAUGCAACGCGUAGAACCUUACCUGGGUUUGACAUGGAUCGGGAGUGCUCAGAGAUGGGUGUGCCUCUUUUGGGGUCGGUUCACAGGUGGUGCAUGCCUGUCGUCAGCUCGUGUCGUGAGAUGUUGGGUUAAGUCCCGCAACGAGCGCAACCCUUGUUCACUGUUGCCAGCACGUUAUGGUGGGGACUCAGUGGAGACCGCCGGGGUCAACUCGGAGGAAGGUGGGGAUGACGUCAAGUCCUCAUGCCCCUUAUG